UACGUAGGGGGCGAGCGUUAUCCGGAUUUACUGGGCGUAAAGCGCGUUAAGGCGGCUUGUCAAGUUGGUGGUGAAAUUUCAGGGCUCAACCCUGAAACUGCCGCCAAUACUGACAGGCUUGAGUGUGAGAGAGGAAGAUGGAAUUCCCGGUGUAGUAGUGAAAUGCGUAGAUAUCGGGAGGAACACCAGUGGCGAAGGCGGUCUUCUGGCUCACAACUGACGCUGUAGCGCGAAAGCGUGGGGAGCGAACGGG
rnacentral:rRNA from 1 species